UACGUAGGGUGCGAGCGUUAAUCGGAAUUACUGGGCGUAAAGCGUGCGUAGGCGGUUGGCAAAGUCAGCUGUGAAAGCCCCGGGCUCAACCUGGGAAUUGCAUUCGAGACUGCGUAGCUAGGGUGCGGAAGAGGGAAGCGGAAUUUCCGGUGUAGCGGUGAAAUGCGUAGAUAUCGGAAGGAACACCAGUGGCGAAAGCGGCUUCCUGGUCCAGCACCGACGUUCAGGCACGAAAGCGUGGGGAGCAAACAGG
rnacentral:rRNA from 1 species